UACGAAGGGGGCUAGCGUUGCUCGGAAUUACUGGGCGUAAAGGGAGCGUAGGCGGAUAGUUUAGUCAGAGGUGAAAGCCCAGGGCUCAACCUUGGAAUUGCCUUUUGUACUGGCUAUCUUGAGUAUGGAAGAGGUAUGUGGAACUCCGAGUGUAGAGGUGAAAUUCGUAGAUAUUCGGAAGAACACCAGUGGCGAAGGCGGCUCACUGGCCCGGUACUGACGCUGAGAUACGAAAGCGUGGGGAGCAAACAGG
rnacentral:rRNA from 1 species